rnacentral:rRNA from 1 species
AUUGAACGCUGGCGGCAGGCCUAACACAUGCAAGUCGAACGAGUGGCGGACGGGUGAGUAAUGUAUGGGAAACUGCCUGAUGGAGGGGGAUAACUAACGGAAACGGUAGCUAAUACCGCAUACCAGCGGAUGGGCCCAGAUGGGAUUAGCUAGUGGGUGGGGUAAAGGCUCACCAAGGCGACGAUCCGUAGCGGGUCUGAGAGGAUGACCAGCCACACUGGAACUGAGACACGGUCCAGACUCCUACGGGAGGCAGCAGUGGGGAAUAUUGGACAAUGGGCGCAAGCCUGAUGCAGCCAUGCCGCGUGUAUGAAGAAGGCCUUCGGGUUGUAAAGUACUUUCAGCGGGGAGGCGUUACCCGCAGAAGAAGCACCGGCUAACUCCGUGCCAGCCGCCGCGGUAAUAC